AACGAACGCUGGCGGCAUGCCUAACACAUGCAAGUCGAACGAGACCUUCGGGUCUAGUGGCGCACGGGUGCGUAACGCGUGGGAAUCUGCCCUUGGGUUCGGGAAUAACAGUUAGAAAUGACUGCUAAUACCGGAUGAUGUCUUCGGACCAAAGAUUUAUCGCCCAAGGAUGAGCCCGCGUAAGAUUAGCUAGUUGGUGAGGUAAUGGCUCACCAAGGCGACGAUCUUUAGCUGGUCUGAGAGGAUGAUCAGCCACACUGGGACUGAGACACGGCCCAGACUCCUACGGGAGGCAGCAGUGGGGAAUAUUGGACAAUGGGCGAAAGCCUGAUCCAGCAAUGCCGCGUGAGUGAUGAAGGCCUUAGGGUUGUAAAGCUCUUUUACCAGGGAUGAUAAUGACAGUGCCUGGAGAAUAAGCUCCGGCUAACUCCGUG
rnacentral:rRNA from 1 species